rnacentral:rRNA from 1 species
UACGUAGGGUGCGAGCGUUAAUCGGAAUUACUGGGCGUAAAGAGUGCGUAGGCGGUUCUUUGUGUCCGCUGUGAAGCCCCGGGCUUAACCUGGGAAUGGCAGUGGAAACUAGAGAACUUGAAUCUGGCAGAGGGGGGUGGAAUGCCACGGUGUAGCAGUGAAAUGCGUAGAUAUGUGGCGGAACACCGAUGGCGAAGGCAGCCCCUGG